rnacentral:rRNA from 1 species
UGGGGAAUAUUGGACAAUGGGGGAACCCUGAUCCAGCCAUGCCGCGUGUGUGAAGAAGGCCUUAUGGUUGUAAAGCACUUUAAGCGAGGAGGAGGCUACUGAGACUAAUACUCUUGGAUAGUGGACGUUACUCGCAGAAUAAGCACCGGCUAACUCUGUGCCAGCAGCCGCGGUAAUACAGAGGUGCAGAGGUCGUUAAUCGGAGUUACUGGGCAGUAAAGCGUGCGUAGGCUGCUUUUAAGUCGGAUGUGAAAUCCCCGAGCUUAACUUGGGAAUUGCAUUCGAUACUGGGAAGCUAGAGUAUGGGAGAGGAUGGUAGAAUUCCAGGUGUAGCGGUGAAAUGCGUAGAGAUCUGGAGGAAUACCGAUGGCGAAGGCAGCCAUCUGGCCUAAUACUGACGCUGAGGUACG